UACGGAGGGUGCAAGCGUUAUCCGGAUUUACUGGGUUUAAAGGGUGCGUAGGCGGCUUUUUAAGUCAGGGGUGAAAUCCUGGAGCUCAACUCCAGAACUGCCUUUGAUACUGAGAAGCUUGAGUCCGGGAGAGGUGAGUGGAACUGCGAGUGUAGAGGUGAAAUUCGUAGAUAUUAGGAAGAACACCGGUGGCGAAGGCGGCCCACUGGAUCGGUACUGACGCUGAGGUGCGAAAGCGUGGGGAGCAAACAGG
rnacentral:rRNA from 1 species